UACGGGGGGGGCAAGCGUUGUUCGGAAUUACUGGGCGUAAAGGGCUCGUAGGCGGCCAAUUAAGUCAGACGUGAAAUCCCUCGGCUUAACCGGGGAACUGCGUCUGAUACUGGAUGGCUUGAAUCCGGGAGAGGGAUGCGGAAUUCCAGGUGUAGCGGUGAAAUGCGUAGAUAUCUGGAGGAACACCGGUGGCGAAGGCGGCCCCCUGGUUGGAUACUGACGCUGAGACGCGAAAGCGUGGGGAGCAAACAGG
rnacentral:rRNA from 1 species